rnacentral:rRNA from 1 species
GACGAACGCUGGCGGCGUGCCUAAUACAUGCAAGUCGAACGAACCACUUCUUACCGGAGCUUGCUCCAUUUAGAAGCGGUGAGUGGCGGACGGGUGAGUAACACGUGGGCAACCUGCCCAUCAGAGGGGGAUAACACUUGGAAACAGGUGCUAAUACCGCAUAAUUUCUUCUUCCGCAUGGAAGAAGAAUGAAAGACGCUUCGGUGUCACUGGUGGAUGGGCCCGCGGUGCAUUAGUUAGUUGGUGGGGUAACGGCCUACCAAGACCAUGAUGCAUAGCCGACCUGAGAGGGUGAUCGGCCACACUGGGACUGAGACACGGCCCAGACUCCUACGGGAGGCAGCAGUAGGGAAUCUUCGGCAAUGGACGAAAGUCUGACCGAGCAACGCCGCGUGAGUGAAGAAGGUUUUCGGAUCGUAAAACUCUGUUGUUAGAGAAGAACAAGUGAUAGAGUAACUGUUAUCACCUUGACGGUAUCUAACCAGAAAGCCACGGCUAACUACGUGCCAGCCGCCGCCGUAACAC